GGGCCUAAAGCGUCCGUAGCCGGCCGAGCGGGUCCGUCGGGAAAUCCGCGUGCUCAACGCGCGGGCGUCCGGCGGAAACCACUCGGCUUGGGGCCGGAGGACUCGAGGGGUACGUCCGGGGUAGGAGUGAAAUCCCGUAAUCCUGGACGGACCGCCGAUGGCGAAAUCACCUCGAGAGGACGGACCCGACGGUGAGGGACGAAAGCCAGGUCUCGAACCGGAUUAGAUACCCGGGUAGUCCUGGCCGUAAACGAUGUUCGCUAGGUGUGGCGUCGACUACGAGUCGGCGCUGUGCCGCAGGGAAGCCGCUAAGCGAACCGCCUGGGAAGUACGUCCGCAAGGAUGAAACUUAAAGGAAUUGGCGGGGGAGCACUACAACCGGAGGAGCCUGCGGUUUAAUUGGACUCAACGCCGGAAAUCUUACCAGCUCCGACAGUAGCGAUGACGCUCAGUGUGAUGAGCUUGGUUGAGCUACUGAGAGGAGGUGCAUGGCCGCCGUCAGCUCGUACCGUGAGGCGUCCUGUUAAGUCAGGCAACGAGCGAGACCCGCACUUCUAGUUGCCAGCAACACCCUUGUGGUGGUUGGGUACACUAGGAGGACUGCCAUUGCUAAAAUGGAGGAAGGAACGGGCAACGGUAGGUCAGUAUGCCCCGAAUGGACCGGGCAACACGCGGGCUACAAUGGCUCUGACAGUGGGAUGCAACGCCGAGAGGCGACGCUAAUCUCCAAACGGAGUCGUAGUUCGGAUUGCGGGCUGAACCCGCCCGCAUGAAGCUGGAUUCGGUA
rnacentral:rRNA from 1 species